AUUGAACGCUGGCGGCAUGCCUUACACAUGCAAGUCGAACGGCAGCACGGGAGCUUGCUCCUGGUGGCGAGUGGCGAACGGGUGAGUAAUACAUCGGGACGUACCCAGUAGUGGGGGAUAACGCACCGAAAGGUGCGCUAAUACCGCAUACGACCUACGGGUGAAAGCGGGGGACCGUAAGGCCUCGCGCUAUUGGAGCGGCCGAUGUCCGAUUAGCUAGUUGGUGAGGUAAAGGCUCACCAAGGCUUCGAUCAGUAGCUGGUCUGAGAGGACGAUCAGCCACACUGGGACUGAGACACGGCCCAGACUCCUACGGGAGGCAGCAGUGGGGAAUUUUGGACAAUGGGCGAAAGCCUGAUCCAGCAAUGCCGCGUGUGCGAAGAAGGCCUUCGGGUUAUAAAGCACUUUUGUCAGGGAAGAAAUCUUUUAGGCUAAUACCCUGGAAGGAUGACGGUACCUGAAGAAUAAGCACCGGCUAACUACGUGCCAGCAGCCGCGGUAA
rnacentral:rRNA from 1 species